UACAUGGGGUGCAAACGUUGCUCGGAAUUAUUGGGCGUAAAGCGCGCGUAGGCGGUUACUUAAGUCGGAUGUGAAAGCCCUCGGCUUAACUGAGGAAGUGCACCCGAAACUGAGUAGCUAGAGUACGAAAGAGGGUCGCGGAAUUCCCGGUGUAGAGGUGAAAUGCGUUGAUAUCGGGAGGAACGCCGGCGGCGAAAGCGGUGCACUGGUUGACUUCUGACGCUCAUGUGCGAAAGCCAGGGGAGCAAACGGG
rnacentral:rRNA from 1 species